GAUAAAAUACAAUCAACAUUUAUUAAAGUGAAAUAACAAAUAAAAAUGCACUAAUAAUGGUACAUGGCGACAAGAUGUUGUAUGCACCAUGGUUGAACACAUAACAAGCCAUAAUGGGCAUGUUUCCAACACAAAUAUCAUAGAAAUAUUGAAUAGCGUGAGCACACGCUUGAAGAGAGUAUCAAUGCAAACACCACAUUUAAUAAGGACGAAAUUUGUCUGACUCGCUUGACAUAAUUUAUUGACUACAAAAUUUGUCUGACUCGCUUGACAUAAUUUAUUGACUCCAACAUAAGGUUCCAUGUGACCAUAACUAACUUAAGGUAAACAUGAUCGUGCGCAAAAGUAUUGCAGAGGUAGCAAGCUAACAGCUACAGCCUUGGUAUGUGUUCGGCAUCAUUGUUUGUUGAAGUUCAGCCGACUUGUAGGAAGUACAGAAGGAACCCCCUCUAUAGUGUGAUGCGCUGCAGAAACACAUACGACAACCAUAAAAAAAUGCUUGAUGAAUAGAUAAAAAUCUUUGAAGUAUGAAAAUGGUGCCAUGUACAAUCUUAGGUUGACUCACCUCUAAACCUUCUUGUAUAUCAUCAAGGCAACUCCAGAAACUAGCAGCCUCGGUCUUCUCAUCAUCUACAUGUGACAUGUCCAAAAAAACAGAAACAUAAAUUUAAUCAUAAAACUAGAAAAUAGAAAUGGUUAAAGGAUCAAAUGAUAGAGAAAUGUGCAAACCUUUAGCUUUGUUUCUCUCCCAGUUUUGU
rnacentral:lncRNA from 1 species